rnacentral:rRNA from 1 species
UCCUGGCUCAGGAUGAACGCUGGCGGCGUGCCUAAUACAUGCAAGUCGAACGCACAAGCGAAAGGUGCUUGCACUUUCAAGUGAGUGGCGAACGGGUGAGUAACACGUGGAUAACCUACCUCAAGGUUGGGGAUAACAUUUGGAAACAGAUGCUAAUACCGAAUAAAACUUAGUAUCGCAUGAUACCAGGUUAAAAGGCGCUACGGCGUCACCUAGAGAUGGAUCCGCGGUGCAUUAGUUAGUUGGUGGGGUAAAGGCUUACCAAGACAAUGAUGCAUAGCCGAGUUGAGAGACUGAUUGGCCACAUUGGGACUGAGACACGGCCCAAACUCCUACGGGAGGCUGCAGUAGGGAAUCUUCCACAAUGGGCGAAAGCCUGAUGGAGCAACGCCGCGUGUGUGAUGAAGGCUUUCUGGUCGUAAAGCACUGUUGUAUGGGAAGAACAGCUAGAGUAGGGAAUGACUUUAGUUUGACGGUACCAUACCAGAAAGGGACGGCUAAAUACGUG